rnacentral:rRNA from 1 species
UACGUAGGGUGCGAGCGUUAAUCGGAUUUACUGGGCGUAAAGCGCACGUAGGCGGUGCGGUAAGUCAGGGGUUAAAGGCUGCAGCUCAACUGCAGUAAGGCCUUUGAUACUAUCGUGCUAGAGUGCCGGAGAGGGUAGCGGAAUUCCCUGUGUAGCGGUGAAAUGCGUAGAUAUAGGGAGGAACACCGGUUGCGAAGGCGGCUACCUGGCCGGUAACUGACGCUGAGGUGCGAGAGCGUGGGGAGCAAACAGG